rnacentral:lncRNA from 1 species
GCUUCGAAUGGCCCAAGAGAGAACAAACUUUUAAAUGGGCCUUCAAUUGGGCUUGAACAAAAUGGGUGUCUACAAUUGCCCCUCUUUGUGCAUGGCUUGCAUAACAAGGAACGUACAAAGAUGUAUACACCUAACCACUAUCAAGUCCCACUCAACAUCACAGUAAAAGGAAUAACAUAUUUUUAAAUUUACCAAAAUUGAAACAGAUCAAAACAUAUUAUGUUAUCCAAAACUAGAAAAGUAGAUACCAAACCAUCAAAACAUGAAGAGUGAAACAAGAUAGACCUCACAACCAAGUCUUCAAAAUGAGAAUGUAGAAGAAAUGUAAAUAGACCUGAUACUUGUGCCUUCAUAUACAAUGCAAUGAAGAGUAAAUGGACCUCCACACCUGUGCCUUUAAAUGUAAUGAAAAAUAAAUGGACCUCCACACCUAGGCCUCUAAAUGCAAUGAAAAGUAAAUGGACCUUCAGGCCUGGGUCUCUAAAUGCAAUGAAAAGUAAAUGGACCUCCACACUUGGGCUUCUAACUGCAAUGAAAAGUGAAUGGACCUCCACACUUGGGCCUCUAAAUGCAAUGACAGUUAAUGGACCUCCACACUUAGGUUCCUAAAUGCAAUGAAAAAUGAAUGGACCUCCACACCUGGGACUCUAAAUGCAAUGAAAAGUGAAUAGACCUCCACACAUGGGCCUUUAAAUGCAAUAAAAAGUUAAUGGACCUCCACACCUAAGCCUCUAAAUGCAAUGAUUGCUUUCCUUUCUCCCUUUCUGGAAUUCUUCUUAAAAGGUAAUCAUUUUAGGAAUCAUGUUUUUAGGUUGAAAAAGAUCAAAUCCCUAUCCACACACAAUAGAUCAUGAAAAUCAAAUUCCAUGGGAUAUCACCUUAAUAAAUUUCAAAAUGAUUUUAUGACUCGUAAAUUAAAUUCUGAAAUGACAAUUCACUUAACAAACUUGGUACAACAGAUUUCAAUUAAUCCACCCUUGAAACAUAAAUUUCUUUCAUCGAGAGCCAACUCGUUAAUUCUCGCGAAGCCAAAUUUCAUUUUCCUGACUUUGGAUUGUUCUUACUGUGAACCAUGUACCAUGAUCUUCUGUAAAAUUGUGUCUUAAAGUAGAUAUUGUUCAAUAUAGUUCCUUUCUCUUGC